GCGAAACCAAAAUCAAACAUACAUUGAGACGAUUUUGAAUCGAAAAUCUGUGCAAUCAAGAAAUCAAUUAGCCAAUACAUUAUUUCAAAAAUACUGAAAAAAAGUAAAACGGAAAACAAAGGUCGGUGACACAGUUAGAUCUACUCCGGUGAACCGGCUCCUUAGCAGAUCGGUUGUUCAAGAUUACUCGCGGUAGCAAGUCACAGUAUCUGUUCGGGCAUCUCUAGGGAUUUGGACGAUUGUCGACCAGCUGUCGCGUCUAUGUCCCUCGGGUUAUAAUUUUUUCCCCGACGUCGACGUUUCUUCUCCUCAAGAAUUUUCAGUUCUGCGGAUCUUGAGGUGACAUUAUUGUCUUUAUAUUGAAACAGCUUGUCUCUGCCCUGAGCGAUGACAUGAUCGCGGUGAAGAUGGUAGAGGAACAUCCAACUCACAAGGGUAUCGAUCCCGCCUUCUCGCCCUGGCUACUGUACGCCUAGAAGAUCUGCAACAUCGGGCGUCAUUGCUGUAGAAAUUCUUAGUUGAUCGUCAAUAAAAUUUGAGCAAAACCUUAAUACAGAAGUUUGAAAACGAAAGAAAACCCUCUCAAUAUAUAAAUCAAAAUCUAAUUCUUGUAUGGGAGCAAUACGAAUCGCCAAAAGAAACACCACAGCCCGCGAAGACCCCGGUUAAAAACUAAAACUAAAACAGACAAAGGAUAUCGUAACGAGACAAUCUUCUUACAGACGAGAAACCCUCAUACAAGAAGAAAACACCACCACCUCCUACGAGUAACAACGCGUCGUCGACCAUCACCCGGAGGUCAAAGCCGAAAUUGACCGGCGACUGUUUCUACAGAUCUUAUAUCUAUCAAAUGGAGCACAG
rnacentral:lncRNA from 1 species